GAGCUAGGGUUAGGGUUGGGCUUGGAGCUAGGAUUAUUCUGAGUGCACUGAACCAACUCCCGAGUCUCUAGGACAUUCCUAAAAAAAUUUGAUUUUUUCCCAUAGGAAUGCAUGGGUUAGGGUUAUGGUUAGGGUUAGGGUUGGAGCUAGGGUUAGGGUUAGGGUUAGGGUUGGAGUUAGGGUUAGUGUUGGAGCUAGGGUUAGGGUUGGGCUUGGAGCUAGGAUUUUUCUGAGUGCACUGAACCAACUCCCGAGUCUCUAGGACAUUCCUAAAAAAAUUUGAUUUUUUCCCAUAGGAAUGCAUGGGUUAGGGUUAUGGUUAGGGUUAGGGUUGGAGCUAGGGUUAGGGUUAGGGUUAGGGUUGGAGUUAGGGUUAGUGUUGGAGCUAGGGUUAGGGUUGGGCUUGGAGCUAGGAUUUUUCUGAGUGCACUGAACCAACUCCCGAGUCUCUAGGACAUUCCUAAAAAAAUUUGAUUUUUUCCCAUAGGAAUGCAUGGGUUAGGGUUAUGGUUAGGGUUAGGGUUGGAGCUAGGGUUAGGGUUAGGGUUAGGGUUGGAGUUAGGGUUAGUGUUGGAGCUAGGGUUAGGGUUGGGCUUGGAGCUAGGAUUUUUCUGAGUGCACUGAACCAACUCCCGAGUCUCUAGGACGUUCCUGAAAAAAUUUGAUUUUUUCCCAUAGGAAUGCAUGGGUUAGGGUUAGGGUUAGGGUUGGAGCUAGGGUUAGGGUUAGGGUUAGGGUUAGGGUUGGAGUUAGGGUUAGUGUUGGAGCUAGGGUUAGGGUUGGGCUUGGAGCUAGGAUUUUUCUGAGUGCACUGAACCAACUCCCGAGUCUCUAGGACAUUCCUAAAAAAAUUUGAUUUUUUCCCAUAGGAAUGCAUGGGUUAGGGUUAGGGUUAGGGUUGGAGCUAGGGUUAGGGUUAGGGUUAGGGUUGGAGUUAGGGUUAGUGUUGGAGCUAGGGUUAGGGUUGGGCUUGGAGCUAGGAUUUUUCUGAGUGCACUGAACCAACUCCCGAGUCUCUAGGACAUUCCUAAAAAAAUUGAUUUUUUCCCAUAGGAAUGCAUGGGUUAGGGUUAUGGUUAAGGUUAGGUUUGGAGCUAGGGUUAGGGUUAGGGUUAGGGUUGGAGUUAGGGUUAGUGUUGGAGCUAGGGUUAGGGUUGGGCUUGGAGCUAGGAUUUUUCUGAGUGCACUGAACCAACUCCCGAGUCUCUAGGACAUUCCUAAAAAAAUUUGAUUUUUUCCCAUAGGAAUGCAUGGGUUAGGGUUAUGGUUAGGGUUAGGGUUGGAGCUAGGGUUAGGGUUAGGGUUAGGGUUGGAGUUAGGGUUAGUGUUGGAGCUAGGGUUAGGGUUGGGCUUGGAGCUAGGAUUUUUCUGAGUGCACUGAACCAACUCCCGAGUCUCUAGGACGUUCCUGAAAAAAUUUGAUUUUUUCCCAUAGGAAUGCAUGGGUUAGGGUUAGGGUUAGGGUUGGAGCUAGGGUUAGGGUUAGGGUUAGGGAUAGGGUUAGGGUUAGGGUUGGAGUUAGGGUUAGUGUUGGAGCUAGGGUUAGGGUUGGGCUUGGAGCUAGGAUUUUUCUGAGUGCACUGAACCAACUCCCGAGUCUCUAGGACAUUCCUAAAAAAAUUUGAUUUUUUCCCAUAGGAAUGCAUGGGUUAGGGUUAGGGUUAGGGUUGGAGCUAGGGUUAGGGUUAGGGUUAGGGUUGGAGUUAGGGUUAGUGUUGGAGCUAGGGUUAGGGUUGGGCUUGGAGCUAGGAUUUUUCUGAGUGCACUGAACCAACUCCCGAGUCUCUAGGACAUUCCUAAAAAAAAUUGAUUUUUUUCCCAUAGGAAUGCAUGGGUUAGGGUUAUGGUUAAGGUUAGGGUUGGAGC
rnacentral:lncRNA from 1 species